rnacentral:rRNA from 1 species
GCGCGUAUCGCCUUGAGUUGAUCAUGGCUCGAUUGAACGCUGGCGGCAUGCCUUACACAUGCAAGUCGAGCGGCAGCGCGGGGGCAACCCUGGCGGCGAGCGGCGUACGGGUGAGUAAUGCAUCGGAACGUGUCCUCUUGUGGGGGAUAACCAGCCGAAAGACUGGCUAAUACCGCAUGAGAUCGCAAGAUGAAAGCAGGGGACCCGCAAGGGCCUUGCGCGAGAGGAGCGGCCGAUGCCCGAUUAGCUAGUUGGCGGGGUAAAAGCCCACCAAGGCGACGAUCGGUAGCUGGUCUGAGAGGACGACCAGCCACACUGGGACUGAGACACGGCCCAGACUCCUACGGGAGGCAGCAGUGGGGAAUUUUGGACAAUGGGGGCAACCCUGAUCCAGCCAUGCCGCGUGUGUGAAGAAGGCCUUCGGGUUGUAAAGCACUUUCGGACGGAACGAAAUCGCACGAUCUAAUAAGUCGUGUGGAUGACGGUACCGUAAGAAGAAGCACCGGCUAACUACGUGCCAGCAGCCGCGGUAAUACGUAGGGUGCGAGCGUUAAUCGGAAUUACUGGGCGUAAAGUGUGCGCAGGCGGCCGCGCAAGUCGAGUGUGAAAGCCCCGGGCUUAACUUGGGAAUUGCGCUCGAAACUACGUGGCUGGAGUGUGGCAGAGGAAGGUGGAAUUCCACGUGUAGCGGUGAAAUGCGUAGAGAUGUGGAGGAACACCAAUGGCGAAGGCAGCCUUCUGGGGCCACACU